rnacentral:rRNA from 1 species
AUUGAACGCUGGCGGUAGGCCUAACACAUGCAAGUCGAACGCGAAAGUCCUUCGGGAUGAGUAGAGUGGCGGACGGGUGAGUAACGCGUAGGAAUCUAUCCUGUAGUGGGGGAUAACGUUUCGAACGGAACGCUAAUACCGCAUACGCCCCAAGGGGGAAAGCGGGGGAUCUUCGGACCUCGUGCUAGAGGAGGAGCCUGCGUCGGAUUAGCUAGUUGGUGGGGUAAAGGCUCACCAAGGCGACGAUCCGUAGCUGGUCUGAGAGGAUGAUCAGCCACACCGGAACUGAGACACGGUCCGGACUCCUACGGGAGGCAGCAGUGGGGAAUAUUGCGCAAUGGGCUAAAGCCUGACGCAGCCAUACCGCGUGUGUGAAGAAGGCCUUCGGGUUGUAAAGCACUUUCAGUGGGGAGGAAAAGCUGGUGGCUAAUAUCCAUCGGCCGUGACGCUACCCACAGAAGAAGCACCGGCUAAUUCCGUGCCAGCCGCCGCAGUAAUAC